UGACAGGAUUGUAUACAUGAACAUCACUGUUCUACAACUUCUAGAACAUCCACAUUCCACAAAUGAACAGCUUUAAAAAAAAUCCCAUCUUAGGCAGGGCAAGGUGGCUCACGCCUGUAAUCCCAGCACUUUGGGAGGCUGAGGCGGGCAGAUCACCUGAGGUCAGGAGUUCGAGACCAGCCUGACCAACACAGAGAAACCCUGUCUACACAAAAACAAAAAACAAAAAACAAAAUUAGCCAGGCGUGGUGGUGCAUGCCUGUAACCCCAGCUACUCAGGAGGCUGAGAGAAGGGCUGAGCUGGCUUCCAAGGCACUAAUUAAGGAAUCCAAGCCUGUACUAUAUAGGAUUCUUUAGGGAUCUGCAGAUAUUUCCAUUCUAAUUUUCCAGAGACAAAAAUGUAACCGGGAGAAAAUUAGAAAAAGAAAGUGACCUGUGGCAUUUGACUACUACUUUGCAAACUGGCUUAUUAUUAACAGUUUUCAACAUUUAAUUGAUCCCCCACUUAAAAAUUCUCACCUUAUUGAGUUCAAUGGCUGAUCGUCUAUGAUCAUAAGGCCAUCCCCAACAUAUACACAUUAUUUGAGUCACUGUGAGAUAAUGUAAUAAAAGCAUCUGAAGCACUAGUUUCAUUUAAACAGAGACAUGCCCUCAACAUCAAGAAUAGAAAGUCUUGCGCUUGAGUUUUUCUUUAGAGAUGCAGAAUUAGCUCAAGGAAUGGAUGGAAAUGACAUUUUUUGGUAACUGAUUUUAAGGUCUCGAAUACUUUUAUGGAAAUAAGUAUCCU
rnacentral:lncRNA from 1 species